CACUCCUACGGGAGGCAGCAGUGAGGAAUAUUGGACAAUGGGUGGAAGCCUGAUCCAGCCAUCCCGCGUGCAGGAAGACGGCCCUCUGGGUUGUAAACUGCUUUUAUCUGGGGAUAAACCUACUUACGUGUAAGUAGCUGAAGGUACCAGAAGAAUAAGCACCGGCUAACUCCGUGCCAGCAGCCGCGGUAAUACGGCGGGUGCAAUCGUUAUCCGGAUUUAUUGGGUUUAAAGGGUCCGUAGGCGGACUGAUAAGUCAGUGGUGAAAUCCGACAGCUUAACUGUCGAACUGCCAUUGAUACUGUUAGUCUUGAGUAAGGUGGAAGUGGCUGGAAUAAGUAGUGUAGCGGUGAAAUGCAUAGAUAUUACUUAGAACACCAAUUGCGAAGGCAGGUCACUAAGUCUUAACUGACGCUGAUGGACGAAAGCGUGGGGAGCGAACAGGAUUAGAAACCCGGGUAGUCCC
rnacentral:rRNA from 1 species